rnacentral:rRNA from 1 species
ACACAUGCAAGUCGAACGGUAACAGGAAGCAGCUUGCUGCUUCGCUGACGAGUGGCGGACGGGUGAGUAAUGUCUGGGAAACUGCCUGAUGGAGGGGGAUAACUACUGGAAACGGUAGCUAAUACCGCAUAACGUCGCAAGACCAAAGAGGGGGACCUUCGGGCCUCUUGCCAUCGGAUGUGCCCAGAUGGGAUUAGCUAGUAGGUGGGGUAACGGCUCACCUAGGCGACGAUCCCUAGCUGGUCUGAGAGGAUGACCAGCCACACUGGAACUGAGACACGGUCCAGACUCCUACGGGAGGCAGCAGUGGGGAAUAUUGCACAAUGGGCGCAAGCCUGAUGCAGCCAUGCCGCGUGUAUGAAGAAGGCCUUCGGGUUGUAAAGUACUUUCAGCGGGGAGGAAGGGAGUAAAGUUAAUACCUUUGCUCAUUGACGUUACCCGCAGAAGAAGCACCGGCUAACUCCGUGCCAGCAGCCGCGGUAAUACGGAGGGUGCAAGCGUUAAUCGGAAUUACUGGGCGUAAAGCGCACGCAGGCGGUUUGUUAAGUCAGAUGUGAAAUCCCCGGGCUCAACCUGGGAACUGCAUCUGAUACUGGCAAGCUUGAGUCUCGUAGAGGGGGGUAGAAUUCCAGGUGUAGCGGUGAAAUGCGUAGAGAUCUGGAGGAAUACCGGUGGCGA